ensembl:lncRNA
CGCACCCACCAUUGCGCGCAGAGAGAACAACCUGCGAGAGUCGGAUUGGGGAUGGGGGAUAACGCACCCGCCGAGGCUGGUCUCAGUUCCAGAGGGAGAAGACUUCAUCAUGGCUACUAAGUAUCAAAGCACGACGAAAACCUGCAAGAUCACACCUUGUAACAGAAAUCCAGAGCAGACAGAGAACCAGAAGUAAGCUGCCUCAGGCUCCUGUCACCAUAGCCAGAGCUGCUCUGACUGCCCUGCCUUCCCCUCCUCCAUGAGUCCGGUGUCCUAACUGGCCACUACACACAAACCAUGGAUAAGUUGAUUUAGUCGAAUAUGUUGUCACAGCAAUGAGAAGAAUAACGAAUACCAUCAUCUCCCUGAAACGAGAAGUGCUGGCCACCUCAACAGAUUGCUGACUUUUCACAAAGCAUUCAUUCACAAGAAAGAAGUGAGUCUCUUGUAUCAUCAAAAGACCAAAGCUGUUAGAAGUCACUAUUUGUGAAGUUUCCAGGGAUGACAAGUUCAGGUUGAAAAGAGAGCAUCAAAGUUCGUUAUUCAAAAGCUCUUAAUGUUGCACAAAGCCGUUUUCACUACAUAGCCUUAAUUAAAAGUCGCCCCUUAAUUAUUUAUGUGCCACCAAGUGCUUCCAAUGAUUUCCCUAGAAGUGGCAGCUAACCUUCUGCAGAGUAGAGAGCAUUGCAUACAGUGACUCUGUGACAUUCAUUCAGACUACUCCCUGGUUCUUCCAGUCUGCCUACAACAGCAGAGAAAGGUGAGAGCUCAUGAGGACUCUGAUGAGAUUAAGAGCUACGAAAGUGCUGGUAUUUGGGGAUACUCAUUUAAGGCCCAGAGAAAUGUAAAACUCUAAGGGUUUUUUUUUGUUUGUAUUGUUUUGUUUUUGUUUUUUGAUGUUUUAAAAAGUCAACUCACAGGAGAACAAUCAGGC